rnacentral:piRNA from 1 species
UGACUCAAUAUGCAAUGUGCUGUUAUUCUGU